rnacentral:rRNA from 1 species
GACGAACGCUGGCGGCGUGCUUAACACAUGCAAGUCGAACGGUGAACCCCUUCGUUGGUGAUCUGUUGGGAACGGGUGAGUAAGACGUAGGCAACCUUCACCCGCCCUUGGCAUAACUACAACUUAAUGGGGCUAAUGCCGAAUCCUGACAGCUGCCCCUACUGCAGGUGGUGGAUAGGGUUGUCGGCUGGGGAUGGGCCGGCGGCGUAUCAGCUUGUUGGUGGGGCAGUGGCGUACCAAGGCGAUGACGGGUAGCCGGCCUGAGAGGGUGACCGGCCACAUUGGGACUGAGACACGGCCCAGACUCCUACGGGAGGCAGCAGUGGGGAAUAUUGCGCAAUGGGCGGAAGCCUGACGCAGCGACGCCGCGUGCGGGAUGACGGCCUUCGGGUUGUAAACCGCUUUCGGCUGUGACGAAGCGCGAGUGACGGUAACGGGUGAAGAAGCACCGGCUAACUACGUG